AUAUGCUUUGAUGGGGGUAAACCCUGAGUGGCUCCUACAACAGGAUUGAGAAGGGUAAUUUUGCAGGAGCUGUCCUGAGGGCUGGAUGAACUCCCUGGCCCUGCAGAAGAAACCACUGUCUGAUGCCUGUCUGCCUGCUUCCCAGUGGUCGCAGCCACUUUAAGAGGUGCCAUGUGGACUAGUCUUUCACCAGCCACCGUGGACUCUGGCAGAAGGUGCCAUCAUUACUGUUAAGAACUGCAUUUAGAAAUAAGCAGGAAGACUGGAGGGGUUAUUUUGAGCCUCAAAUAGUAUUAAGUUGGAACCUGAAUCUUCUGAAAUGACAGCCUGACUUCUGAGUGGCCGUGCUGAGGAUCUUGCUGCUCUCCGUCGGAGGGGAGCCUCCGUUUCCUGGUCACCGGAACAAGAUUUACUGAGCACGUGCUAUGUGUCUGUCGGGAGUGUGAAGCACUGGGGAGUCAAACAAGAAAGGCUGCUUGUUCAGCCCUCGAGCAACUCACACACCUGUUCCGGAAGCGCACACGGUGCCACGUGAUCUUACGAGAGAGGGCUCAAGGGACCACGGCAGGCUCAGGCCAUUACCCAUGGAACUGGCCAGGGAGAGCCUACCUGUCAAAUUGUCUGGAACGUGGCAAGAUAAACUCCUGGUGAGUCCUUCUGUGACACCCUAGGGCUUUGGUGACAGAGUUAAUUAAUCAAGACACCAAUGUCAAAA